UCCUAACAGCUAGCCAACACCAAAAAACAACAACCAACAUUAAUAACCCCACAGACACAAGUCAGUAAACAACAAACCAUUUUUCCUCCUAAGUAUGGGCGACAGAAAAGGACUAUAAACGCUAUAGAGAAAGUACCGCAAGGGAAAGCUGAAAGAGAAGUGAAAGAACCCAGUAAAGAAACAAGAAGCAGAGACACACCCUCGUACCUUUUGCAUCAUGACUUAGCUAGUAACCCUCGAGCAAAGUGCACUUUAGUUUGAGCCCCCGAAACUGAGCGAGCUACUUCAAGACAGCCUAAUACAGGGCGAACCCGUCUCUGUGGCAAAAGAGUGGGAAGAUCUUUAAGUAGAGGUGACAGACCUACCGAGCCCAGUUAUAGCUGGUUGCCUAUAAAAUGAAUAGAAGUUCAGCCUUUAGCCUUCUCUCCCCAACCAAGUAAAAACACCAAGGUGGCACAAAGAAAGCUAAAGAGUUAUUCAAGGGGGGAACAGCCCCCCUGAAAAAAGAUACAACUUUAUUAGCAGGUUAAAGAUCAAAAGAUAUAAAGCAUAAUACCUUAGUGGGCCUAAAAGCAGCCACCCAUGCAGAAAGCGUUAAAGCUCAAGUACCAAGCCCCUCUCUAAUCCCGACAAUACAAUCUUAAACCCCUUCAAACAAUAAUAGGCCUUUUCAUGCAAACAUGAAAGAGAUCCUGCUAACAUGAGUAAUAAGAGGGAUGCCCCUCUCCCAACACCUGUAUACAUCAGAACGAACCCCCACUGAUAAUUAACGCCCCCAACCAAAGAGGGAACUGAGAAAACAACUUAACUAGAAGACCUCCCAGAGCAUAGCGUUAACCCUACACAGGUGUGUUUUAGGAAAGACUAAAAGAAAAAGAAGGAACUCGGCAAACACUGGCCUCGCCUGUUUACCAAAAACAUCGCCUCUUGCACAUUUUUAACGUAUAAGAGGUCCCGCCUGCCCCGUGACUUAAACAAGUUUAACGGCCGCGGUAUUUUGACCGUGCAAAGGUAGCGUAAUCACUUGUCUUUUAAAUGAAGACCCGUAUGAAUGGCAUUACGAGGGCUAAGCUGUCUCCUUUUUCCAGUCAAUGAAAUUGAUCUCCCCGUGCAGAAGCGGGGAUAAACCCAUAAGACGAGAAGACCCUAUGGAGCUUAAGACACAAGGCAGCCCAUGUGAAAACACCUGGAUUAACAGUAUUAACAAAGUGGCCCCUGCCCACCUGUCUUUGGUUGGGGCGACCGCGGGGGAACAACUAUCCCCCAUGUGGAACAGGAACUUAUUCCUCAAAGCCAGAGCCACAGCUCUAGCAAGCAGAACAUCUGACCUUAAAGAUCCGGCAAAGCCGAUCAACGGACCGAGUUACCCUAGGGAUAACAGCGCAAUCCCCUUUUAGAGCCCAUAUCGACAAGGGGGUUUACGACCUCGAUGUUGGAUCAGGACAUCCUAAUGGUGCAGCCGCUAUUAAGGGUUCGUUUGUUCAACGAUUAAAGUCCUACGUGAUCUGAGUUCAGACCGGAGAAAUCCAGGUCAGUUUCUAUCUAUGCAGUGCUCUUUUCUAGUACGAAAGGACCGAAAAGAAGAGGCCUAUGCUUAAAGUAAGCCUCCCCCUUACCCACUGAAAAAAGCUCAAGUGGGUAAAAGGGCACAGUGCCCUGCCUGAGAAUAAAGGCAA
rnacentral:rRNA from 1 species